GUCUGGAGCUGGCAUGUCAGUUAACUGCUAGUAGUCUGUUGUUAUUUAUGUAUUAUUGUCAUUUUGUUUAUUUUCUUUGGUUACAUCUUCUGACAUCAGACUCGGACUUCUCUUGAACUGAAUUUUAAUGUGCGUAUUGUUAUGCGUUUACUUUUCUUCAUUGGUUAGAGGUAUAGGGGGAGGGUUGAGAUCUCACAAACAUGUUUAACCCCGCCGCAUUUUUGCGCCUGUCCCAAGUCAGGAGCCUCUGGCCUUUGUUAGUCUUGUAUUAUUUUAAUUUUAGUUUCUUGUGUACAAUUUGGAAAUUAGUAUGGCGUUCAUUAUCACUGGACUAGUAUACUGUAUAUUUGUUUAGGGGCCAGCUGAAGGACGACUCCGGGUGCGGGAAUUUCUCGCUACAUUGAAGACCUGUUGGUGACCCUCUGCUGUUGUUUUUUAUUUGGUCGGGUUGUUGUCUCUUUGACACAUUCCCCAUUUCCAUUCUCAAUUUUAAUUGAA
rnacentral:lncRNA from 1 species